GAGAGAGAAGGAGGACUCCCCUCGUUCUAUGCACGUGCUGCCCAUGUGGUUGUGGUUCGUACCCUGGGAGAUCUCGGUUGACUUGGGGUGGAGGAACCGGUAGUAUAGGACAAGAGAGGUGCCGCCUGGGAAGCAGGAGAGCGCAGAUAGAGAGAGUGACUCACCGAGGAGAAAGCUACACAGCACAGUGGUGGGAAGGGUCAUGCUGUCCCAUGACGCUUCGCUAAGGAAGUCGGAGGCGGCCAGCAGCAGAGUGGCGUUCUCUACGAGCAUGAACUGAAGGAGGGGAGAAGGUCACACCAUCAGUCAUCUACAGACAGAUUUACGUCACUGUGAGCUUUGGACGCGGAGUUGCAGGAACUCACCUUUUGAAGAUGCCCAAGUGCAGUAUGUGUAUGACAGAGAGGUAGCAUCGCCUGUCAUCACCGUCAUCGUAGUACCAUUUCAUACUGAGCAGCUGAACUGCCGUCCCCGGUAGAAAGAGGCCGAGAGUGAGGCCCGCCCAUUGCGUCUCCUCGUUCCAAAGUGGAGAAUUGAUAUCCUUAGAGUGCGGUCCGAUUCACCACAUAGUCAUGCAGGUCAUGAAGGAAAAGGAGCACCUAAAAGCCAGCACAUGUGUGAGCCGAGAGCUGCAGAGGCCAGCAGAGUCCUUGAGAAAUUAAAGACCACCUUGCUGAAGUGAAUUGUCCUUUAAUUUAAGAGGAAGCUGCUCUAAUGAGAUGAUACAAGCUCCACCAAGAGGAGUCUGACUCCUGGCUUUUCAGCACAGCCUGCAAUUAUUUGUCUGCAAUUACAAGUCCUCUUGCACUGUGAAAGUAACGACUUGUUCAGGAUCAGAAAUAUUGAUCGUUUUGACCAACGCCUCAAUUUUCUGUGACAGCCUGACUCCAGUGAGGAGCCCGUGCAGAAGCAGUGGCACAGUACAGUAUUUUUAUCCUCUGGCAAUGAUAUACCUGCUGAAGGCAAAGUCACACUGUGUGCACAGCCAGUCACCUCGUCUCUCACGCGUCCUGUCCUUGCCACAUUGAUCUGCUUAGUCAGGGAAUCAUCACACCUGGAAGUGCUGCACACUGUGUUCAGUUCAGCCUCCAGAUGUGCAUCCAUUGAGACACGAUAAUAAGUAAUACCUAUAAUAACAUCUGUUUUUGGAGGAUGGGUGCAAAGAAAAAAUAAAUAAAUAGAUAUAUGGUGAUUCCUAUUGCUGUUGUUGGAUGCAGUCAUUUUGAGCUCUGUGACCCUGCACAAUGACCUCUCGGGGGGUCCUGGGGCCCCAGUUUGGCCAACCCAGCUGGGCUAACCAAAGCCGUUGUUAAAAGAAAAGACAAACAUGACUAGGACUGCCAGUUCAGCAGUAACGACUGUGCUACAGCAUCACAGCAUUUGAAUAGUGUGUGUGUGUGUGUGUGUGUGUGUGUGUGUGUGUGUGUGUGUGUG